CUGCUAACUCAUAUUGUGGUAGGUUGAGUGUGUUUGCUGGUCAACCUUUACAUAGUAAUUUUCAGCAAGUAGAGGACAGGCAGGGCAAGAAAUGAAUGCAAAGAAGAGAAAAGGGGGGAAAAAAACAGCUUAAAACUACAAACUAUCAUGGUGUCAUUGAUCCAGGUUUAGGAGAAUAACAGACAAAUCCAAGGGUUUAUUAUAAUUCUUGUUCUGAAGCCGUAGUUGUCUCUUGCAAGUCAAGUUAUCUGAAGUAUCCUUAAAUGUGGCACCAAGGACAGCUGCCUUUCCCACCACUGCGCCGUGAUGCCGUGAAGCACCAACUGAGAACAGUAUACGACACAUCAUCUCAGAAUCACAGACUUGCUGAAUAUGUAUCUCCUGUGGAAGUCUUCUACAAAAACAUCUCAGUACUGAGUGAAACAUUCUUCCAUCAGAGAAGAUAACUAGUCUAAAUAACUUUUACAACUUGUUAAAAAUACCACUUUCCUCAAGAAUUGUCAGAAUUUUCAAAGAUUAGGAUUCCUCUUCUUUACUGAAUUGCAGAACUGUAUGGGUUGGAAGUGACCUCAAGAGAUUGAGUCCAGCUCCUUAUUGUCAAGAAUUUUAGGUCUCCAAAUUGUUGUAUGCUGAGUUUUCUGAUACUUGUAAUUGACGUUUUUCUGAAUGGCUGGCUGAUGUUUUAAAUCUGCAGAACUUUUAAAGUGGUAAAGACCUAUAUCCCAAACAUUACAUGAAAGAUUAAUUUUUAGUGAACUAAAAUAAGUUUGAAGUUCUUACUGAGUGGACAUUGAUACAGUUUUUUAAAGCUAAGACUGAUUAUAUUUUAGUAAAAUUUAAGUGCAUCUGAACAAUCCAUCAGAAGAAUAUGUAUUUUUUCUUAAUGAUCAUUACCUGAGGUCAUAACUAUGUGUAUAUGUAUCUAUAUAUCUUUAAACAGAAUCCUCUGUACAGUUUCAAUAAAAUGCAUUGAAUUAUUACAGUUUUUUCACAGAGAAAAUGAGAUGCUCUUUAUAAAGGAGUUUGGGGUUUUGUUUCAUAUUGAGGAUAGUGGUGAGCAGAGAAUAAAAUAAAUCAGAGUAAUUAUCUAAUGAUGUAAUUGAAAAAUAUUGUAGAUAACCUGUGAGCAUCCUAAAGAGCUGGCCUUGCCUCCAGAUUUUUAUGAAGCUGGUUGCUGCCUAAACCAAAGGAGCUAUCCAGAACGAGAGUGAGCCAGGACACUGAAAUAUUUAUACCUGGUUAUGAUGACAAUAUAUCAGAAGCCACAGUUGUGAUCAUUUGGUGAAUGGUUCUGCCUCACAUGUGUCUACAGGGGAUAAAAAAUAAAAAGAGUAUAGAAGCAAGAGCAGUUUAGAAAAGAGACAGAGGAGUCAGCCUGGGCCAUGCUGUCUUUUACACUUCAGAAAGCUUUAGUGUCAUCUUUUUCUCUUAUUUCUUUUCAUAACUGGAUUUUAUUUCCUGCUGCUACUUGUGGUGGUGAGCAGGCAGUGCAUCUGGGCAUGCAGGGACACCAGAGAGGCUGAGAUGUGUCUCUCUCACCCUGUCCUUUUGGAAGCCAGAAGCUAAUGCUGAUUUCAGGGCAGUGGUGCUGGCCAUAUAGGGCAGCUGAAGGAAGCUUUGGUGUGUCCACGGGUGCUUUCACUUGGUGUAUGUCAGCUUGGCACACCUUGACAUAGGACUGCUGAGAUAUCCUGACAGCUGGAGAUAAUGGAAUUGAUCACUGUGGUCAAGCAAGUAGUCAGAGUUUAGCACUGUAGUUCCAUGUAAUUAAAGACAAGCGUACUUUGAUGCAUUUUAGAGAAGCUCCCACUUUGUUGCUGUUGAGAGAUAGGCUGUCUCAAUGCCAAGCCAAGGUUUGAGGUUCACUUCCUGGGUUGGCUUCCUCCUGGAAAUUGUACAGCUUCCAGCCAUCAUAAAGCACAUUAAAGAGGAACUCUGACAGUGAUUAUAUUUAUGCUUGUCAGGAAUGUUAGGUUCUAAUGGCAAAGAUCAAACAUUAAAAGAUAGCAACAGGUAGUAAGAGCACAGCUCCUCCCCAUUGCUAUCCCUUCAGAGAACAAGUCUGUUGUUCAGAGAAUUCCUAUUCACGUUAGGUACUAUUCAUCCUACCUGCCUGGUUCCUUUUAUUGUACAAUAAAAUUUGAUUUAUUCUCAUUUGAAUACAGAGUAUAUAGCUGUGUAAGUUUAAGAUGGUUAUAAACAGUUACUUUCCAAGUAGAGCAAUAUAAAGCCUACUGCCCGAGGUAUUUCUGAGGCAUGACAAGCAUUACUCGCCAAAGGGCAGAGACAGAAAGCUGUGUUUUGGAUCUGAACAUUGUGCCUGGAGCUAAUCACUGGUUAUGCUGAUACCUGCUCAGUUCUUCACUCUUAAAAAAAAAAAAA